rnacentral:rRNA from 1 species
UAGGGAAUCUUCGGCAAUGGGGGCAACCCUGACCGAGCAACGCCGCGUGAGUGAAGAAGGUUUUCGGAUCGUAAAGCUCUGUUGUAAGUCAAGAACGAGUGUGAGAGUGGAAAGUUCACACUGUGACGGUAGCUUACCAGAAAGGGACGGCUAACUACGUGCCAGCAGCCGCGGUAAUACGUAGGUCCCGAGCGUUGUCCGGAUUUAUUGGGCGUAAAGCGAGCGCAGGCGGUUUGAUAAGUCUGAAGUUAAAGGCUGUAGCUCAACCAUAGUUCGCUUUGGAAACUGUCAAACUUGAGUGCAGAAGGGGAGAGUGGAAUUCCAUGUGUAGCGGUGAAAUGCGUAGAUAUAUGGAGGAACACCGGUGGCGAAAGCGGCUCUCUGGUCUGUAACUGACGCUGAGGCUCGAAAGCGUGGGGAGCGAACAGGAUUAGAUACCCUGGUAGUCCACGCCGUAAACGAUGAGUGCUAGGUGUUGGAUCCUUUCCGGGAUUCAGUGCCGCAGCUAACGCAUUAAGCACUCCGCCUGGGGAGUACGACCGCAAGGUUG